UAGGAUUUGAAAAGUCAAGUGAUAUCGAUCAUUCAUAAAAAUUGAAGACUGAAAUAUUAAAAGGCGGAAGCACACAAACCAACCCGGCCGUUACAGUGUUAUUUGGUCCUUUUCUUUUCCAAAUCAGCUUUCAUCCAACGUUAUACUUACCGCCGCCGUUUUCUUUGACGUGUGGAUAAAUUAGAACCAUCUCAGACCAUCCUCACUCAGGACCUCACCGACGAGCUCGUCAUCGUCGACAACAAACCCGAUAAACUCCGCGGCGAGAUGGUCGACCUUCAGCGCGCCACUGCCUUUCUCCCCCGCGUUAAGAUCAACUCAUCCAUUGAAUACUCCGUUCCAGAUCCGAUCUUUGUAUUGUUACCGCCGGCGCACGACAGAAUGCCGGUGAGUCAAGGCUGAACCUCCCUCAGAGGAACCUCGCUCUAUUCAAGGAAAUCAUACCUGCUCUGGCCCGUUACUCGCCGCAUACUCAUCGUGUCUAACCGUGUCAGUGUUAUCACCUACAUCGCAUGGAAGCUCUCCGGGUUCCCAUCCAGUCGGACUAUCGGGUCGGGUACUGUUCAGAUUCUUGCCAACGUCAACAGGAAGGUUAUGAGCUCUUGCAAAUGAUACUUGAUUGAAAGAAUUCAAUCUUACAACAGCGUCGUGGUGCCAUUCACCGGCUUAUGGUUUGGUUAUUGAACCUGAUCAGGGAGUUGUUCUUAAUAUGACUAGAAUUUAAACAAUAAUGUAACUAAAUGAGACAUAUACUACUUCUGGUUUUAUUUUUCUAUUAAAAAAAUCAAUCAUAUUAAUUAUGAACAGAGUUAGAGGCUGCCUUAUUCCAAUAGUGAGUUGGAGAACCAAUUUGGAUUUUCAUUCUUUUUUGCGUUCUCAAAUUUAAGAUGUUUCCACCAUAUUGAAUUGUGUAGCAGAUUCCUUAAAAAAAUGUGUAACAGAUAAAUAUGAAUUGUGUGAUUUUUGAAAUGGGUUGCAAGUGGCAAGUUCUCUAAUAGGUCUCAAUAUAGUUCUCUAAUUCAUUUAUGAAGAAACAUAUUGUCAGCAAAACAACUUUCUUGUUAUUAUUAGUUACAUGUGUAAAUGCAUCUUUUUUAAAUUUAAAAUUGUGUUUGGCCAAAAGUUUAAGUUUGUGACUAAAUGAUAUCUCCUAUUUCUCGUCAUCUCCAUUGUUGUUGUAAAGCUCCCCACAGUGUGAGAGUCACUCCUCAAUGAAAACAGCCUACUCACCCCUCACAUUCUAUGACAUUGUUUUUCCCUUCAUCUUCUUUCUUUUCAAACCCUCAUUCAUUCUCCGCUAUAACACACCAACCUACACAAAACACCACCUACAUUGACCUCAUCCAUUUCUCACUAAUCUCUUUCUGGUUCCUUCCAAUGGUUUCUUUGAAUUUAAUUUUGGUUCCAAUUGGCUUUGAUCACGACACGAUAAUUUGUAUUUUACCAUCAUUCUGUGAUGAUUUCGUGAUUUGACGAUAGAAUUGUUUCUCCGCUAAUUUAGCGAUGCUCAUAUCUGUUCAAAGAAACAGAAUUCCGUUUAAUAAUCUUGAUUCAAUUAUUGUUAUAGUAAUCAAUUAUCAUCAUUCUUUAUUUUGCUUUCAAAUUUUAAUACAUUUAGUCUCUAAUUUUAAUACAUUUAGUCUCAGAUUUUAAGUUUGAUUAUAUAGUAUUGCAAUUCUAAGUAAGUGCCUAUUGUUAAAUGAGAAAGAAAGGUAGAUUUGUAGCAUUGCUUGCAUUAUGAUUAUUUUAUUCUAGCUAGGGGCCGCGUAGACAAUCAUUGUCUUAUAGAUGGAUUCCUGUUUAAGAUAAAUUUGUUCAUUUUUGCUCUUUGAUAUUGUUAUGAAAGCUUUAAACAUAGAUAUCUCCUUGCACUAUGAAUUCACUUUUGGUAGUUUCAAUUUGGAUAUGAUGAUUUAUUUGGUUUGGUAGUAGAGUUGUUUCUACGGUAUUCUUUUUAUGCUCAUACCCAUCUAAUGAAACAAAAUCUUUUUUCUAGAAGAUGUAAGAUAGAAUUAACACAGGGUGGUGUCUCAGAUUUAAAAUUUGAGUAGAUAGUAUUAGAAAUUUGAAGAGUAAAGAGCAAUUAUUUCAUCUUGACUGCAUUAUUAUGAAAUAUCAUUACCUUUUUUUUUCUCCUUGACAGAAUGCAAAAAUAUCCAAUCCUCAAGAGGAAUCUGCAGUAUCUAAGGCGAAUAAUUUUUUAAGUAAAAUUAUUUAUCGUUUUCAUUUUGGUCCUGCAAAGAAACUUCAAAUCACACAAUGUUCAUCAUUUCAAGAUGUUGAAGUUGGUUGUAAAGAUUCAAAUCUAAGCACAACAGCCCAGACGAGGAUGAUGGAAAUGAAAAUGGCCCAAUAAGGACGAGUCCAACCCAAAGAAGGUGCUAGUGCUACUACUGCAGGGGAAGAGAAAGAUACUUCCUCUGAAAUCAGAACCUCCAAAAUUACAUGCAUGUAAGAAUGAGAAUAGAUCAUGUUACUAAUAGCCAAAUUCUUGCAAAAUGUGCAAGGAUUAUUGCCUUUGUUUUUUAUGAAUGACAUUGACAAUGGCAAAAAAAUAUGUACUUGACACUGUAUAAACUUGCCUUAAUAUGGGUACAGGAGGAGAAAAUCAGUGAGAGGAUGAAUAUUCUCCAAGACAAUAUUUAGUAUGUUGAUCAAUAUAUAGUAAUAAUAAAGGUUUUUAUUCUUUUGAGAGACAAA